UACGAAGGGGGCUAGCGUUGCUCGGAAUCACUGGGCGUAAAGCGCACGUAGGCGGAUUGCUAAGUCAGGGGUGAAAUCCUGGAGCUCAACUCCAGAACUGCCCUUGAUACUGGCGGUCUCGAGUCCGGGAGGGGUGAGUGGAACUGCGAGUGUAGAGGUGAAAUUCGUAGAUAUUCGCAAGAACACCAGUGGCGAAGGCGGCUCACUGGCCCGGUACUGACGCUGAGGUGCGAAAGCGUGGGGAGCAAACAGG
rnacentral:rRNA from 1 species